AGCAAUCUGCCUUGGAGUGGGGAAUAACGGUUGGAAACAGCCGCUAAUACCGCAUGAUGCGUCUGGGGGGCAUCUCUCUGGACGCCAAAGAUUUAUCGCUCUGAGAUGAGCUCGCGUCUGAUUAGCUAGUUGGCGGGGCAACGGCCCACCAAGGCGACGAUCAGUAGCCGGACUGAGAGGUUGGCCGGCCACAUUGGGACUGAGACACGGCCCAGACUCCUACGGGAGGCAGCAG
rnacentral:rRNA from 1 species